UACGUAGGGUGCGAGCGUUGUCCGGAAUUAUUGGGCGUAAAGGGCUCGUAGGCGGUUUGUCGCGUCGGGAGUGAAAACAUCAGGCUUAACUCGGUGCUUGCUUUCGAUACGGGCAGACUAGAGGCAUGCAGGGGAGAACGGAAUUCCUGGUGUAGCGGUGAAAUGCGCAGAUAUCAGGAGGAACACCGGUGGCGAAGGCGGUUCUCUGGGCAUGUCCUGACGCUGAGGAGCGAAAGUGUAGGGAGCGAACAGG
rnacentral:rRNA from 1 species